UAUUCCUUCAAUUUGCAGAGGAAGAAAAUUGGGCUGAAAGAUCAAGGGGAAAUGUGAAUAUAUGAAGGCUAACAGUGUAAACCUAACCAUGUCAACUCAGAAGAAAGUUCUGCUGAAUUCAGUAGGGAUUACUCCCAGAUUAGGAACAGAAAUUAUAAAGACUGACCCACAGAGUGCACAGAGCAUCAGCCAGGAAGAAAAAAGAAAGAUGGAGUUGCUGGAGGAAGUUGUUAGUAUUUGCUUCCCUUGACUCUGCCUAAUUCAGAUCUGUCCUAAGGUCAGGAAGAUCAUCAAGCCUGUGCCACAGCCGGUAGAUGUCCAUCUGGCAACAGUGGAGUUAUCUUCUGUGAUGGCAAGUUCAGCCACUCUCAGGAAUAGUUUUCCCCCAGAAAUAAAGGGAAGCACCAACAAAGUUUAGUGAAUGCUGAAAACAUGUCUGUUCACUGUGGCUUUUGCUGGCUAUGGAAGUCUGCUGCUGUAAAACUGGAAAUGAUUUUUUAACUGCUUGAUUGUUAUUGUAAUUGCAUUUUUAUAUUGUAUUUUAUUAUUUGUUGCCC